rnacentral:rRNA from 1 species
CUUACACAUGCAAGUCGAACGGGCUCUUCGGAGCUAGUGGCAGACGGGUGAGUAACGCGUGGGAACCUACCUAUAAGUACGGAACAACACAGAGAAAUUUGUGCUAAUACCGUAUGUGGUCUUCGGAUUAAAGAUUUAUCGCUUAUAGAUGGGCCCGCGUUAGAUUAGCUAGUUGGUGAGGUAAUGGCUCACCAAGGCGACGAUCUAUAGCUGGUCUGAGAGGAUGAUCAGCCACACUGGGACUGAGACACGGCCCAGACUCCUACGGGAGGCAGCAGUGAGGAAUAUUGGACAAUGGGGGCAACCCUGAUCCAGCCAUGCCGCGUGAGUGAUGACGGCCUUAGGGUUGUAAAGCUCUUUCGCUAGGGAAGAUAAUGACGGUACCUAGUAAAGAAGCCCCGGCUAACUUCGUGCCAGCAGCCGCGGUAAUACGAAGGGGGCUAGCGUUGUUCGGAAUCACUGGGCGUAAAGCGCGCGUAGGCGGACUUUUAAGUCAGGGGUGAAAUCCCGGGGCUCAACCUCGGAACUGCCUUUGAUACUGGAAGUCUUGAGUUCGAGAGAGGUGAGUGGAAUACCGAGUGUAGAGGUGAAAUUC